rnacentral:misc_RNA from 1 species
GAUGAAGAACGCAGCGAAAUGCGAUACGUAAUGUGAAUUGCAGAAUUCAGUGAAUCAUCGAAUCUUUGAACGCAUAUUGCGCUCUCUGGUAUUCCGGAGAGCAUGCUUGUUUGAGUAUCAGUAAACACCUCAACUUCCAUAUCUUUUUUGAAAUGGGAGUUGGACUUGAGUGAUCCCAACGCUUUUCCUCACCGAAAAGUGGCGGGUUACUUGAAAUGCAGGUGCAGCUGGACUUUUCUCUGAGCUAUAAGCAUAUCUAUUUAGUCUGCCUAAAAAACAGAUUAUUACCUUUGCUGCAGCUAACAUAAAGGAGAUUAGUUCUUGUGCUGACUGAUGCAGGAUUCACAAAGACCGCUUCGGCUGUCUUUGUAAACUCGAUCUCAAAUCAAGUAAGACUACCCGCUGAACUUAAGCAUAUCAAUAAGCGGAGGA